rnacentral:rRNA from 1 species
GACGAACGCUGGCGGCGUGCUUAACACAUGCAAGUCGAGCGGAAAUGCCCUGCUUUUGUGGGGUGCUCGAGUGGCGAACGGGUGAGUAACACGUGAGUAACCUGCCCUUGACUUUGGGAUAACUUCAUGCAACUGGGGCUAAUACCGGAUAGGAGCUCCUGCUGCUUGGUGGGGGUUGGACAGUUUCGGUGGUUGGGGAUGGACUUGCGUCUGAUCAGCUUGUUGGUGGGGUAGUGGCUUACCAAGGCUUUGACGGGUAGCCGGGCUGAGAGGGUGACCGGCAAAAUUAGGACUGAGAUGCGGCCCAGACUCCUACGGGAGGCAGCAGUGGGGAGUAUUGCACAAUGGGAGGAAGCAUGAUGCAGCAACGCCGCGUGCGGGAUAACGGGCUGCGGGUUGGAAACCGAUAUCGUCUGUGACGAAGCGUGAGUGACGGUAAUGGGUAAAGAAGCACCGGCUAACUACGUG